GGAAUCAAAUGUUACGGAAACAUGAAACGUUCAGAUAAAAUGGCUUCCACUGAGGAGACUGGUGAUAUGAAAUGUAGUGUAGAAACAGUGCUACCAACUGUUGCCAUCUGGCCAUGUUUCCGAUAGAGAGAAUCGAAUGAAAACGUAAUACGACGUCUGCAGUGUGGAACACAGACAAACGACACGUGGGGGGUUACCAGCCUACCAGCCCAUUCGCAAGAUCCACACUACACCCAAA